ACCGCGACUGUCACCAGAAUAAGAGGCGCUGCCGGAGUUUACCUGGAGUUCACUUGUUGAAUGACAACAGACGGAAGUUUAUUCUUUAUUUUACACUUUAUUUCUCCGCUUGGGAACAACUUACCGCAUCUCGGCGCAGAGUCGCAGCUUUUCUGACUCCCGAUCGGCCGCCUCGCCCCGGAAAAAAUGCGGGACCGGACGAAAGAAUUGGGAAAUACUGCAGAGACUUCAGACGAGGACGAGGAGAGCAGAGCUCUGAUGAUCAAACCUGGAGCCUCUUCAGCCAAAGAGGAGAAGGACAAUGAAGCUUUCUUCAAAAAGGUUUGCAUUAAUGUCGAUAUUAACCCUUUGGGAUAAUCCGAGGAAACUUGAGGAGGAGAUGACGUUUAUUUUUUAA